AAAGAGUUCUAUAACUCCCAAACCCAUGUGAACAUACCUAACGUUGCCUCGGCAGGUCGCACCUACCUUGUAGCACCCUACCCUGUAGGGCCUACCCGGGAGGUGCGGGUAAGCCUGCCGGCGGCCCACCAAACUCUGUUUGAUAUUGAAUUCUGAACCUAUAACUAAAUAAGUUAAAACUUUCAACAACGGAUCUCUUGGUUCUGGCAUCGAUGAAGAACGCAGCGAAAUGCGAUAAGUAAUGUGAAUUGCAGAAUUCAGUGAAUCAUCGAAUCUUUGAACGCAUAUUGCGCCCAUUAGUAUUCUAGUGGGCAGGACCGUUCGAGCGUCAUUUCAACCCUUAAGCCUUCGUUGCUUAGUGUUGGGAGCCUACGGCAACGUAGCUCCUCAAAGUUAGUGGCGGAGUUGGUUCACACUCUAGACGUAGUAAUUUUUUAUCUCGCCUAUUAGUUGGACUAAUCCCCUGCCGUAAAACCCCUAAUUUAUCAAGGUUGACCUCGAAUCGGUUCAGACAAACUCGCUAAAUUGAAGCAUCUUAGUCAGCGAAGGAAAAGAAACCAACAGGGAUUGCCCUAGUAACGGCGAGUGAAGCGGCAACAGCU
rnacentral:rRNA from 1 species